ACCACAUAUUCAUACAUCUUAGCAAAUUACUAAAUUAAAGAGCAAUUUAUAACUAUAAAGAAAAUUGCAUGCAGAGGAUGCUGACAACUCUUUCAGUCGAAGAAUUGAUCGAAUCAAUUUUCAAGAUAUGAUGUUCUUGAGGAUUGAUAAAGCCUUAAUUUUUUGCAACAACUUUAACGAGUAAUAUACUGAGAGAACAUAAAUAUGAAUGAUGUGUG
rnacentral:lncRNA from 1 species